CCAGCACCCGCGGUAAUUCCAGCUCCAAUAGCGUAUAUUAAAGUUGUUGCAGUUAAAAAGCUCGUAGUUGGAUUUCAGGGCCUGGAGUGCGGUCCGCCUCAAAGCGAGCACCGCAUACUCUGGGACCACCUUCCUGAGGACCCGUGUGCCCUUAACUGGGUGUGCGUGGGAUUCAGGGACUUUACUUUGAAAAAAUUAGAGUGUUCAAAGCAGGCGUUUGCUUGAAUACAUUAGCAUGGAAUAAUGGAAUAGGACUUUGGUUCUAUUUUGUUGGUUUCUAGGACCGAGGUAAUGAUUAAUAGGGACAGUUGGGGGCAUUAGUAUUUAAUUGUCAGAGGUGAAAUUCUUGGAUUUAUGAAAGACUAACUUCUGCGAAAGCAUUUGCCAAGGAUGUUUUCAUUAAUCAAGAACGAAAGU
rnacentral:rRNA from 1 species